GCUGAUUUGUUUUUGCAACGUGUUUUCCAAUUUGUGAAACAGAUUAUCAAUUUUCCCCAAAUUUGUGAUUUGACGUAAUUUUCAGUUUGCCCCCUCCUUUUAGUGCAAUUGUCAAGGUUUUUACCUGUUUAAUUAUCAAACUGAAUAAAAUUUCACACCUAGUUUGUUGAAAAAUUAGAAAGGGGUGUUCGAACCCCCCUAGUCAGAAACAGAGGGUACAAAAAAAGGCAUAAAAAAAUUUCACUGGGUACAUCCAUAUUUAUUUCCAGAGUCCUUAAAAGAAUAGAAAACCCAAAUUCCAAAUAUCCGAUCGUUUACGAACAUUUUGGUCAAUUACUAGAAAACUCUGCUUGUGGCAACCAGGGUUAGUACAUUCAUAAAAGCACUCAGGGACUUUGUCCCAUUGAUGUAUUCUUACAAUUGGCGUGAAAACAGGUCACCAUUUCAUGAAUAAAAACUCGCCACAAAACAGAAUCGCAAUCUGCUUCUAGUUCAAAGGGUGUCGUUCAAUACAGGAGAUGAUCAUAGAGAUCUGAUGAUUGUACAACACCAAGAAUUUAGUUUCAUCCCGUGAAAGUAACUAACUGUUGAAAAAUCAUUUUCUUCGCUUAUUAAGGGCAAAGGCAUGUUUUCACACAAUAUGCGUUUCACAAUUUGACUGAUCUAAACAUAUGGUGUAACCUUUUAUAGUUUGUAUUUUCCAGUUGUAGGAAACAAUAAAGAUAUAUAACACAUUGCACUUAUAUACCAAAAACCCAUUUAUAGAUAUAUUAGAUAAUUCAGGUCUGAGGCCCACAGAGACAGCAAGAAAAUGCCGGCCAGAUGAUCUAGUAAAAACUACAAGCAAACAUAUGGUGUAACCUUUUAUAGUUUGUAUUUUCCAGUUGUAGGAAACAAUAAAGAUAUAUAACACACCUUGAAGAAUUACUCCCAAGAGAAAAAGCUUAAUGGUCCUCAAUAUAACUUUCUUUGUAGCUGCUGAUUUGUUAGGUACUUUCUGUGUAGAAAACAUGAACACGCUUUUACCAGUUGACUUAAAACAACAAGAAUAGCUUCAGCAUUAGAGACAUCUACUCUUAAUCUGAAGUCAAAAAGACCAUCAAUAUAACAUGAACUACUAAAUAAGAUGUAAGGAAAGGCUUUAUGUUGGGAAAUCAUGUCUUUUCCCUUAUAUCUCGUUCUUUCCAACAAGUUGGAGCAUUAACAAAUUCCUUCCUUAUAAAGAAUCAAAAGAAUUCAAGUGAGAAUUGUCAAUACCUUGAACACAAGACUCACAGAGACACCAACACCAAAGAGAAAAAACGGCAUCACAAAGUCGGCGAUUGUCACUCCGAACCACGGUGCGUGGUUUAUCGAUGGAAAAGCUUUUCCAGCAUCAUCAACUAAAAUCAUCAGCUGCCAACGAAAGGGUAAACGAGAUUACAAAAGAACUUUUAAACACUAAAGUAAAAGAUGAACUAAUAACAAAUAGAGAAAUAGUUAUCUGAAGUAACCGAAAUUCAUCGAGUGCAUUGAAAUUAAAGAACGAAAUGAAAUGAAAGCAUAAUUUUAUUAAAUACAAUCAAGGUGACAUACCGCGAUAGUGAUGCCUCGGAAAACGUCGAGAGAGACAAGUCGUUGUUUAGGAUCAGUUGAAAUAUUAGACUCUGAUUUAUCUGGUAGCUCCUCCACUGGCGCCGUCGAAUAGACAGUUUCUCCGUCUCUGACCGUCACAUCUCCCCGCGAAUCCUCAGGUUGUGAGUUCUGAAGUAGAGGAGUGCGGUCUCCGCCGUCGGUGUCUGUUACCACCACGAUCGAGGCCAUCUUUUUUUGGCCAGUCCCACCUGUGUCAACGGUCAAUUUGAGGGCACACCCCUCUGCGCCUCUUCAGUUUGACAAAGUUUAGUUAAAAAAUUGAAUGUUAAUUCUAUUUUAAAUUUGAGAGUGCCGUAAUUUUAAAAAUGUACAAUUGAGUGAAUGUAGUUUUAUAAACCGUGCAGUAUACUUCCUACAAUAUCUUACUUUUGUUUUUUGGCACGGAAGUCCCCAAGUUACGUAUUUUGGUGUGCAAUUGGUUUCCUUUACAAAGUGGCACCAAGAUCCAAAAAAAUUAUUGUCUCUAUGUUUAAUGGAGAUUUCCCGCAUCUAUUGCAACUUGGUCGACAAUACAAUUCUUGAACUUUUAACCUAAAACACAUUUCAACUAGAAACUAUCCAAAUUUUUGAUGCUACCUCAAAUUUCGUUGAUAUAAAGGGUAAAAAUUAGAUACGAAGGCUCGGAUUUUGAAAUUUAAUGGAUUUAGGAGAAUAAAAUAAAUUAGGGCACAUUCUCACCGCUCGUGGAUUACAAUUUUGCUUACAAGAACGGUGAUUUGACGAAAAUCUUCUUGCUGAUUUGUUUUUGCAACGUGUUUUCCAAUUUGUGAAACAGAUUAUCAAUUUUCCCCAAAUUUGUGAUUUGACGUAAUUUUCAGUUUGCCCCCUCCUUUUAGUGCAAUUGUCAAGGUUUUUACCUGUUUAAUUAUCAAACUGAAUAAAAUUUCACACCUAGUUUGUUGAAAAAUUAGAAAGGGGUGUUCGAACCCCCCUAGUCAGAAACAGAGGGUACAAAAAAAGGCAUAAAAAAAUUUCACUGGGUACAUCCAUAUUUAUUUCCAGAGUCCUUAAAAGAAUAGAAAACCCAAAUUCCAAAUAUCCGAUCGUUUACGAACAUUUUGGUCAAUUACUAGAAAACUCUGCUUGUGGCAACCAGGGUUAGUACAUUCAUAAAAGCACUCAGGGACUUUGUCCCAUUGAUGUAUUCUUACAAUUGGCGUGAAAACAGGUCACCAUUUCAUGAAUAAAAACUCGCCACAAAACAGAAUCGCAAUCUGCUUCUAGUUCAAAGGGUGUCGUUCAAUACAGGAGAUGAUCAUAGAGAUCUGAUGAUUGUACAACACCAAGAAUUUAGUUUCAUCCCGUGAAAGUAACUAACUGUUGUCCUGCAUCCACUGCACCCAAUUAAAGCUCUUUUAGAUACAAAUUUUCCUUUACCUAUUGAUAAAGAACACACAAUCAAAAUGAAAAUGCAACCCUGAACGUUCACUCUGCUUAAAUUGGCCCAUGUUUAGUUAUCUAUAGAUUAAUAAUGGUGGAUCAGAAGAUGAUGAAAGGUGCUUCUAAAAACUGAGGUGAAGAUUGGUCUGAGGGGUUCGGACUAAUACAUGGCAAAGCCGUUCCAUAUUUUGAAGUGGCUAACUAACUAGUUUAGACCAACAUGCAAUUGUAGUCCAACUUAAGAGAGUAACAACAGAGUCCCAGAUAUCCACAAGGCAAAAUAGGAUCGGGAGCUUGAGAAGCUAAGCGUUGCACUUAUAUACCAAAAACCCAUUGAUAGAUAUAUUAGAUAAUUCAGGUCUGAGGCCCACAGAGACAGCAAGAAAAUGCCGGCCAGAUGAUCUAGUAAAAACUACAAGCACUAUGAAACAAGAGGUCUUCCAUUCCAUAGGGAUAUAUGCAUCUGAGGAUAAAAGGGCGAAAUACCCUUAAUUAGAAAAUGCAGACAAGCAUGCUUGAACGCGUUGGAUUGCUUGUCCAUGGCUCAAGAUUGAUGGACAAAAUAUAAAGGCAAUAAAACUGUAUAGAAAAGUAUGGAGUUACUCUAGCUCAAUUCAUGUUCAGCUUG
rnacentral:lncRNA from 1 species